CCUCCAUUCUGGAAGUAGCAGCAAAAAAAUGUGAGCAAAAGCGAAAGCUGUACACACCUUUCUGACAAUCUUUUACCCUUUGGAUAGUCAGAAAGGUGUGGAC